AAAUAUGCAUAGAGAACACGGUAUUAUACAUAAUUGUAUGAUGUAAUAACUGAAUAGACAUACAAAAUACUACUGUUGGAAGAUACAGAGUCGGUAGCAAGCCGAUCUUUACAACAGUAAGAAUUAUGUACAGUGGUAAUUCAUUGUUUUUGGAGUGUUAUUCCUUUUGUUGAUAUAAUGGGAUGCUUAUAAACUACUUGUGUGAUAAGAAAUACUUUGAAAAACGCCAAAAUAUAUGUGAGUUUUAUUAAUUGCAUAAGAAAUGAGACUCAGAGGAUUUAUUUUACAGCGGAUAUUAAUUUAAAUGCAGCAAAUAGGAUUCGUUUUUUACUAGUUGCUUUACAAUGGAUAACAUUUGUAAACUGUGUUAUUCAGUACAAAAGAUAUUCCUACAACGUUUUCUCGGCUAUCGGGGAUGUUAACAUGUGCAUUCGAAGUGCGACGGUGAUGCUUUUUGAUUCUGCAAACUGAGAGCACUUAUAUAAGCAGCCUUGGUAAUAGGAAAAAUAUGCAUAGAGAACACGGUAUUAUACAUUAUUGUAUGAUGUAAUUACUGAAUAGACAUACAAAAUACUACUGUUGGAAUGUAAAGAGUUGGUAGCAAGCCGAUCUCUACAAUAGUACAAAUUGUGUGUACUGGUAAUUCGGUGAUUUUGGAGUGUUAUUUGUCAUGUUGAUAGAAUGGAAUGCUUAUAAACUACUUGUGUGAUAAGAAAUACCAUGAAAAACGUCACUUUUUGUGAGUUUUAUUAAUUGCAUAAGAAAGGAGACUAAGAGGAUAUAUUUAAAAGUGGAUAUUAAUUCAAGAGCGGGAAAUAGGAUUCAUUUUUGUAACUAGUUGCUUAGAUUGGAUAAUAUCUAUACACUCUGCUGAUCAAGGCAAAGUCAUUUUGGGAAUAAAACUUUCGUUUCGGUAAUACGGAAGUGGACACAUAUGACAGUUAGAGAUAAGAUACAGUGAUCUCGUAAUGUUUCUUCUUCAUGCAGCUAAUGAUAUAAUUAAAAUUAACCAGGAUAAUCUAAAACUUAAAUAGGAAUUUGAGUAAAACAAACAAAGAAUCAACAACAGAAUAUCAAUAUCCUAUUUUGAAAGUAGACAAUCAAUGACCUAGUCAUUUCUUACUGUGAAACGGCAAAAUGGGUGAUAAAACAGAUGAAGGAAAUUAUAGACCAGAAGGCAAACCAAAUAUCACCAAAUGUUCAAAAUUAAAAUCAGAAAAUCAGAAUAAAAAGACAAAAUUUACACCAGAAACUGAGGCAAAAGAUGUCAAAAAGCCAAAUUUAAUCACUAAUGUUCCGGAUACAAAUCUUCCACUCGCUUGCCUUGUUUCUUUAUGUUUUAAUUUUCCAUUAGGUAUCAUUGCAAUGUACUUAUCGCUUUCCGCCGCUAGACUUUAUAGAGAUGGAAAUGUUGUAAGAGGUGAAAAGAGAGCAAAGUUAUCUGUGUUUUUAAGUCUGUUUAGUAUUGUAACAACUGUUCUUAUUGUAACGGCUAUAGUUGUUUGGAUUGUGAUAGACAAUCAGACUAAAAGGGAAAUGAAGAAAUUAAAAACCUGAUUUUUACACUACAAAAGGUGAUAAGAGUGAAGUUGUAUUUGUGUCCAACAAAGAGAUUGUGACAGUUAUAGAGAACCAACAAUUUUGUGAGCAUAAAAUCAUGUAAAGUGUGACUACUUUGUUGACAACAAAAUUAUUUAGAGCGUAGUAACUAAAGUAUACACAAACGAAUCAUAACACUCAAAUGUUUGCCUGUUGAUGCCUUUUCAAAGUUUUAUUUUAUCAUUGACAGAUAAGUGUAUUUUCACUCAGUAUUUUAUAAUCAAACUUUUUACAUUUUCAUGCUUUUUGGUUACAUUAUUUCAGAAAAGAUUUUUAAGACAUAUGUCUAAAAUACCAGGUGUUACGAUUUAUAAUUCAAAAUUGUUUGAUGCCAGUCUAUCCGUCCAUUAGCAUUAUAUGAUUUUAAACAUAGUAUGAAAUGAAUUGUAAAAUGAUAUAUCUUCUGACCAAGAAAUAACUGAAUUAACUAAAUGUUUAUCUGUUAUUUGCAUAUUCUUGAUAACGCAUUUUAGGAUGAAAACAAAUCAGUAUUGUUUUAACAACGAGUGGAUACAACAUAUAAAUAAUGAAACAUCGAGAAAGGGAUAAGUGUUCUGAUCAUAUCUUCUAGUUACAAUAUUACACAAAUGGCAAUCAGUAUUACUUACAAUAACAUAGCUCAAAGAAACAGCACAUUGCCAAUAUUCCAAUUAUAAAUAUGGAUCUUUUUGUUUGUAUUGUUUGCAAUUGUGAGUUAUUACUUUUGAUGAGCCUUUAAAGACCAUUGUUGUUUACCUUUUAAAUGUUUUAAAUUAGAUAUAAUCAUGGUGCUUCUUUUUUGUAAAAAAACAACACCAAAAAAAUAAAAAGCGAUAACAUAUCAUUAUAAAACUUUUUUAUGAAUAAUGUGAAUAAACAAAAUAUUUAAAUUCAUUCAAUUGUAAUCAUGGAUUGUCACUUCAAUACAAGACGAAAUUUAAAUAUUUGCAUAAUAACAAAGCUUAUACGCCUUCAUAUUGAUCGUAACAUGUAAAUAAUUAUACUGUAUCAGACUAGAAGACUAAGUAAUGUUUUCAUACGUAGCAUAACUGUCCAAAAUUAUUUUUUUUCCAUCCAUAAGCAGUAAAUUUUCGGUUCCACGUUGUUCAGAAAGGGAUGUGCGGCAUAAACGAAUACAUCAACAUGCAAUUUUCUGAACAUAUUUCACAUUAGAAAUUAUUUUGCAGUUACUGUAUUAGUAAAGUUAUGUAUAUGUCGCCAUUGAGUUUAUAUUUUAUUUUUAUAUUUUUAACCCGAAUUGUCCCAAAUUGUAGCCUUAUAAUAUUAAGGCAUUUUACCAAAAGGUUCAAAUGGAAUCAUGCUUUUAUGCUUUUAUCUUUUUUUGAUAUUUGUCUGAGAAUAAGCGUUCAUAUUGUGCUAAUGUAUAAAAAUAAAAAGCUGUCGGUGUAAGUUGUGCGCAUACAAUUAAGUUGAUAAUAGAAAUUAAGCGUAAGGAAAGUUUAUUAAUUUGUUCAGAAGAAUACUCAUUUUACAAUCAAAGCAACCAAUUAAGUUGCUUAUAAAUUUUAUAAAAUUAACUUUUUUACCCUCCAGCAUAUAACUUAUCAUUCAGAUCAUGUCUGUGGAUAUUUAGUGCCUUAUGUUAUAAUGUUGGUGGUAUUUAGUACUACUAUUAUACAACAAAUCACCUAAAAAGAUGAUGUUUGUGAGAGGUAUAGUCCGAUUCAAUAUCUCUCUAUACAUAUUACAGAUAUAAUAAAAUUGUCCAGAACAAACAAUUAUUAGUCACAAUAUAAAACUUUAUACUUAAUUAUUUGUAACUCUUCAAAUAUUCUUUUCAAGAAUAUCAUAAUUUCUGUUGUUUUUAUCUAUCUUUGAAAUACUGAAAAGAGUGCACAUUAUAAAACAAUCCACAUUAAUCAUUGCAAUAAAGUGCUAUAUAAUCAAUUAUUGAACAUGUAUCUUUGCAAUGUUAAAUAGACAGCUAUACUCCUGAAAACUGUAUUCAUUGUUAUGUAUCGACAAUAUUGUUAAUAUAUCAGUAUUAAAUUAUUUUCACAA